rnacentral:rRNA from 1 species
GAUGAACGCUGGCGGCGUGCUUAACACAUGCAAGUCGAACGAAGCAUUUAAGACAGAUUACUUCGGUUUGAAGUCUUUUAUGACUGAGUGGCGGACGGGUGAGUAACGCGUGGGUAACCUGCCUCAUACAGGGGGAUAGCAGCUGGAAACGGCUGGUAAUACCGCAUAAGCGCACAGUACCACAUGGUACAGUGUGAAAAACUCCGGUGGUAUGAGAUGGACGCGCGUCUGAUUAGCUUGUUAGCGGGGUAACGGCCCACCAAGGCGACGAUCAGUAGCCGAGAUGUGAGGGUGGGCGGCCACAUUGGGGCUGAGACACGGUCCAGACUCCUACGCGAGGCGGGAGUGGGGAAUGUUGCACAAUGGAGGGAGCGAUGAUGGAGCGACGCCGGGUGAGUGCAGAAGUAGUUCGCUAUGUAAAGCUCAAUCAGCAGGGAAGAUAGUGACGGUACCUGACUAGAAAGCUCCGGCUAACUACGUG